AAAUUGAAGAGUUUGAUCAUGGCUCAGAUUGAACGCUGGCGGCAGGCCUAACACAUGCAAGUCGAACGGUAGCACAGAGAGCUUGCUCUCGGGUGACGAGUGGCGGACGGGUGAGUAAUGUCUGGGAAACUGCCUGAUGGAGGGGGAUAACUACUGGAAACGGUGGCUAAUACCGCAUAACGUCGAAAGACCAAAGAGGGGGACCUUCGGGCCUCUUGCCAUCAGAUGUGCCCAGAUGGGAUUAGCUUGUU
rnacentral:rRNA from 1 species